UCAUAUAUGAGAGUUUUAUUUGUGUAUAUGAGAGUUUUAUUCAAGUGUGAACAUAUCCAUGUAUAUUACAUAGAAAUACAAAUUGUUGGGUUUAUUCAAGUGUGAAGUCUCACAUUGAAUAUGCGGGGAUAAGUAAAAGAGUUUAUAAUUAGAAAAGGUUCAUGGAACUAAUGUCUUAAAGUUUUUGUUCAAGACGUGGUGCAUCACUUAUAGAUCUACACUCUUCCCAUACCUCGGUAACAGUGGAACUCCCCGGUGGUUGGAGACUCCCUCACUCACAAUAAAUCAUAUUUGAAUGUCAAAAUAAAUAUUGGUUAUGUGAUAAUUGAGCAUAUUUUAAUUUAGACCAUCAAUUUAUAAUUGUAUGAUUCUAUCCUCAAACUUUAUUGUUUUCACUUUCCAUAUAUUUUCACUGAAUAUUAUUAUUUAAGAUAAAAUGCAUUCAAUCUUGAGAUGAUAUACAGUAUAUAUAUACAUAUACACAUAUAUAUAUAUGUGAAGUAGUCUAUAUAUAUGCCAAUAAUUCAUCAAAGGACACCAUUGUCAUUUUCAAAGUCAGAGUACAUGGAUUUAUCUUCCUUCUCUUUUUUUACUUUUUUUGAAGUUUUUAAUGUUUAGACACAUUUUCAAUGGUAAUGUGUAGAGACAAAUUGUUACAGGCCUUCAAUUUAUGAGUGUCACUUGUUUGUUCCAAAAAAGAAAUGGGCUUCUUGGGAUGACAUCAUUGUGCCAUCAACAAUGUUGAAGCGUAUAUUGAAUCAUUAUGUUUGGUUGGAGCAUUGGAGGAAUGUCCUUCUUCGUAUGGUAGACUGGUAGUAUAUAAAGUGUACAUGUGUGUAUUUGUGUAAUUAUGUGUGUUCUUAUUCCACCUAAGUUCUCCAUUAAAGGAGGGAAUAGUUCACAUUAGUAUUUUUUUCUUUGUCA